CCGUGCUUUCAUCGAGCUAAGUUCCUUCUGCUAGUGAAUUUUAAAUAACAUGUUAGUAUCACUGUUGUAAAUUUAAGACACUUGAGUAUACCUUCGUAACGUAUGUCAACGACAGUCGACAUAUCUUACCGAUUUCUUUCAGACGAUCUGCCUGUCGUUGAUCUGUGGCACGGUCGACGUGGUGAUUAUAGAGAAUGGCCGCAACACAACUGAAUCGAGCUCGAACCAUCAAGAAAAUUGAAAAGCCUCGGCCGCUUAAACUUGCUCAACGCCACGCGACCGUCGAUGGGCGGAUUACGACUGUGGAGGACAUAGUGUCCUUAAUCGACAAUGUUGCUAUGCAACUAACUAAUGGCUUCCAUGAUCGAACGCUGCAAAUAAGUGUGAUUACAAUGUGUAAUCAUUUAAAACUUUGUGCUCCUCAAUUAGAAGCUAUUUAUAAAGACCAGCUGGACAGAGCUUUUGUAGCGAUCAGAAAUGGAAGUCAAGACGAAAAGUUAGAUUUGACGACUAGGGUUCACCUGCUGGAACUUAUAGAAUUAAGAGCCAAGCAAUGGCGUCACACAGAUUCUAUGGAUGUAUAUUAUACACAGAAAUUAUCGCAUUUAGAUAAUGCAGAAGCAAUUCCUGACACACCUACAAAUGUAUUGUCAUCUCCUAUGGCAACAAUGACUUCCCCUACUGUGGCACCUAUUUUAGGACCUGGUGAAGUUAUAAAAAAUAGCGGCAAAUUUGUUAAACCUACGCGUAUCCCUGGAAAAAACUACUGUAAAGAUGAAGUUGUUAUACGUAACAGUGAUUCUGGUAAAGUGAUGGGAAUAAAAGGGCGGCGGGUUCACAUGAUCGAAGAGCUCAGCCAGACAAUCAUCUCCUUCCAGCGAGUAAACCCUGGAGCCAAAGAACGACUUGUCCAAAUCACGGGUACUUCCGAGGACAAGAUACAUUACGCGAAGGAUUUGAUAAAAGAUACGAUUCAACGAAAUGCAUCGCCGGUGAGAUUGGAGCAAGGUGGAGGAGAAAAAGGAGCCAUGGGUGGUUCUAGCUCCUCACUAAAUAGUAGUGCGUCAGACGAAAGUAAUCGAUUGCAACAUCAGCAACAAAACUCUCGUUUACGAAGUUCGCUCCUCCACAGCUUCUCCACCAACGACGCCAGUAUAGGCGAAUAUAAAUAUACAGUUACAGUUGGUAACCAGUCCUUAAAGAUCACAGGAUGCAAUCUUGAUCUUGUUAGGACUGCAAAACUAGUUUUAGACGAAUAUUUCUUGGGAGAUUCUGAAAAUUUUACAAGUGGUAUAGAAUAUUUCAAUUUCGACGAAGAGUCUCCAUUUUCGAUCUCGUCUUCCAGUACACAGAAAACAUUGUUAACUCCAAAUAAUACAAACGAAGUAGGCCGAGAAUUAAAUAUGGAUAGUACUGCAACGUCAGAAAGUGAAGAAACUUAUAAACCCUUUAUUAUACCUGAACCAAGUUCAUCAACUCAGGGAGUUCCAGAAAUUAGAGAACUCACAUACGAGUUUUUGUUGCUGUGUUCAACAGGCCCUUAUGCUAAACGACCGCCUGCAGAUUGGGCCCGUAUUCAAAAGGAAUGUCCAAACAUUGUUCGCAAGGUACAUCAAUGUGAUACCAAUGCUAAUCACCUGAUGUACGACAGUGUUAUUUACUAAUUUUUCUUGCAAGAUGAUACAAGAUUAACGCCUUGAAAUUAAUUUGACUAUUUUGGAGUUAAGUUUAUUCUCCGUAUUGAAAUGUGCUAAAAUAACUGUUAUAUUUUUACUUAUUUCACUUUUGGAAUAUUCGUCCUUAGAUAUUAAAUCUCACUACAUUAUUAGAAUCAGUAAUAGCAUAGAAGAACAGAUAUUUUCCAUUAGUGGAAGGCAAUUUUCUCAAAAAUAUCAUAAUUCCUAAAGUCUAAUAAUUUCUAACUUUGAUCAGUUAGAAUUGAUUCCUAAGCUCUUUUUUCCUUAGCUUAUAUUUUUUUUCGUUGGAAAUAUUAAAUUACAAGGCUGAUAUUUUAAUUCAUAUACAAUAUAUAUAUAUAUAUAUAUAAUAUAUAUAUAUAUAUUGUAUAUAUAAAUAUAAAUAUAUAUAUAUAUAUAUUUAAAUAUAUUUAAUAUAUAUAUAUAUUUAUAUUUAUUUAUUUAUUUAUAUUUAAACCAAAAGUUUGGAAUAAGUAUGAUUUUUGUGAUAUUUAAUAGCUUUAACCAAAAAAAUUGUUUUGACAGUAUUAUGUAGAUGUGAUUAUAUGUAAAACUUGUUAUAUGUUACUUAUAAUGGUUUUUUUAUAUUGAAAACAAUAUAAUUUGCCCUUGUGUUAUAAUAAUAUAUUGAUGUUUAUUACUGAAUAUUAUUGCAGUAGUAUAUGUUUAUUUCAUUAAAUAAAUUAGACUCAUAAUAUGUACUAUCGUUACAUAAUUACGAAAAGUUUUUUUCAAUCAUAUUCUUCUAUUUUAUUACUAAAAUAUUUAUUUUUUUAAUGAAUUAGGGAUUUGAUUACUAAUGUAAAUCAAAAACGAAAAUAUGUCAUGUUAUGUGUUUGUUAUACAUUGUAUGUAAAUUUUAUAUUUUCUCAAGUUUCUCAUGUACGUCAUUAUUUAAAUAUUAUGAUUUGUUUAAUAAUUGCAUAGUAUGCUAUUCAUAUUAAAUUUAAGUGAUUAAUAUUAAAUGAAUUUAAGAAAACGUUAUUGCAAUUUUUAUUAUUUUAGAUAUUAUGUGAAAAAAGUAUUAAAUUUUACAUUAUAUAAAAAGACUUAUAUACUGAAUGUUAUUGUAUAACACUUAUGGGAUUUUUAAGAUAAUAAACAUUUUUACUUUGUAUUUUUUAAAAUCAUGUAGUACGUACAUUAUAACAAAUGUGUGAUAAAUUCUUGUUUAACUUCAAAAUUAUAUUAGAAAACGUUUGUGUAACUACUCCAAAAUGGCAUGCAUUUACAUAAACCAUUUAACACUUGCUUUACAAUUUCAAAGCAUGCUACUUAUAACAUCAUAUCCAGGAACCGAUUCGCUGGUUCGAACCGGAGACAUAUAAAGCUAAGGUGGCAGCUGCUGGUCUUGUUACAGUAUUGACGAUCGGAGAAGGAGAAACUGAUCCAGAAUGAGAGAGAUUGCAAAAUUGUUUAAUCACCAUGAAAUUGUAUGUAUUAAUUUACAUCGAUUUUUAUCUCGAUGUAUUGUGAUAAAUUUUUAAAAGUAAACUGGUAUAAUGUUCUGACAUGAAGGAAUAGGUAUUAUAUGAGUAACAUAAUAUGUAUUGCCGAACUUAAUUGUAGCAAUACAGAAUGACUAGUAUGAAUAUCGAGAUAUCCGCUAAUAUUUAAAAAUGUUAUGCGUGUUUAAAUUUAAAUUGUUUUCAAAAUAAUUUAAUAUUGUAAUAUUUUAAUAAGCAUUUAUGCUUUUUUAUAUUACACUUAUAUGCAGCAAAUUUGUGAAAUUCAUUUUAAAAAAGUGUUGUCUAUUUCUAAUUAAUCGAACGUGUCUUGCAGCAAUAUUUUUAGUUUAUUUUACAAUGGUACAUUCAUGUAUUGUUUUAUAUUUUGUAGUAGAUGGAAGAAAUUUCAAUAUCUUUAUUAUCAUUACUACUACUGCUGCUGCUACUACUCCUAUUAUUAUUACUAUUACUACUACCACUAUUACUACUAGAAUUGAAAUACUUCAUAUAAACACUUAUGAAAGACAAUAAACAAUUUUUAUAUUUUUAGUAUGAUAUAUAGAUCAAAUUACAGUACUCAUAAAACAUAGCUUAUGCAAUUCAUAAUUAUUGAAUAUUGGCAAGUUAAAAAAUAGUAUUUCCAUUAAUAGUUUCGAAUUUAAAUUAAAGAAGGAAAAUUGUUAAUUGAAGAAAAGAGUAUAAUAUUACUAACAAAUGAUUGUUGAUUGGAACUGUAAAUAAAAUUAAAUUUAACAUUUAGAAUGCAAUUUAUGUAAGCAUUCAAAAAAUGCUUCAAUUUUUGAUGCAUAAUAUGUAUUUUGUUACAUAUAACAACUGUAACAAAAUAGUGAUUUAACAUAGUCUAGUCUACCUUUUUAAAGUAGGAACUACUAUUUUGGUAAUUACUCUGCUGUGACAUAAUAGCCAAAAAAAAGAAAAAAAAAUGAUUUCAUUUAAUCUUAAAUCAAGAUUUUAUAUUUUAUAUACUAAAACCAUGAUACUGUGUAAUAUAUAUUAUCAAUUAUAUGGAGAGAUAAAAACAAGUUUUUUGCUUCUAUAUCGAUUUCCGUAUAAUUAAUAAUAGGAUUAAUAUUCAAUGCUGCAUAACAAAUUUUGUAUUAUAAUUAAUUCAAGAUUAUUUUUUAUUAGAUAUAAAAUUGUAUUUCAAUAAGUUAUAUUUUUUUUGUUAUGGUAUUACUUCUCUCCUUUCAGUUAGAGAUUAUGUAUUGUAAAUGUUUCAUUAGCCAGAAUAUAAAUUACAAAUAUAUUGUUAAGUUUCUUUGAUUAUUUCUGAAAUUAUGUAUUACGUAUCUUUUAACAUAUGAAUUAUUUGAAUGUGUAAAAUAUGUAAUUUCUGUAUUUUAUUUUCUGGCUUGAAAUAUUAGGAGAAUAUUUAAUAUUUAUUUGAUCUGGGACUAAAUUAUGUUGCACGCACACGGAACGUUAUGUUUGUAUGUUUUUACAUCUUUUAAUAUUUAUUACAAAUUUACACAAUUAUUUGAUUUAAAUUAUUAAUAAUUUAUUACUAUAAACACUAACUGCAGUAAUAUAAUAGUAUAUUAUUGUACCUUGCUCUUUAAUAAUAAACCAAUAAAAAUAAA